rnacentral:rRNA from 1 species
CCUACGGGAGGCAGCAGUGGGGAAUCUUGCGCAAUGGGGGCAACCCUGACGCAGCCAUGCCGCGUGAAUGAUGAAGGCCUUAGGGUUGUAAAGUUCUUUUGCCCGUGACGAUGAUGACGGUAACGGGAGAAUAAGCUCCGGCUAACUUCGUGCCAGCAGCCGCGGUAAUACGAAGGGGGCUAGCGUUGUUCGGAAUUACUGGGCGUAAAGCGCGCGCAGGCGGUUCGAUAAGUUAGGGGUGAAAUCCCUGGGCUCAACCCAGGAAUGGCCUUUAAGACUGUCGAGCUAGAGGACGAGAGAGGUGAGUGGAAUUCCCAGUGUAGAGGUGAAAUUCGUAGAUAUUGGGAAGAACACCGGUGGCGAAGGCGGCUCACUGGCUCGUUUCUGACGCUGAGGCGCGAAAGCGUGGGGAGCAAACAGGAUUAGAUACCCUGGUAGUCCACGCCCUAAACGAUGAGUGCCAGGUGUCGGGAAGCUUAGCUUCUCGGCGCCGCAGCUAACGCCUUAAGCACUCCGCCUGGGGAGUACGGCCGCAGGUUAAACCUUAAAUGAAUUGACGG